rnacentral:lncRNA from 1 species
CGAUGGCCUGAUAAGCAACUAAGCGUCUGGCUUCGCGGGUUCAUGCCCGAGGCUGUGCGGUCGGGGGAGGCUGGGGGCUCAGCCGAAACCUCAGCUCCUCCUUACAGGCCUGGUUUGGAAACGGGCUGUACACUGCUGGGGGCCCCACUUUCCAAUGUUUACUUCUGAGAUUGGAAGAAGAAGACAAGAAACACCUCCUCACCCCCUACCCUCUGCCUCCACGCCCGCGACUCAGCCCAGGUGACCCAAACGGCAGAGUCAACUUGGCGCAACCGGAGCGUCCCCAUCGCGCCGGCCACCCCCAGCCCCCUUCGCCCCUCGCUUGGCCCCACAAUGCGCCGUUGUGCCGCGCCUGCCGUCAGGCCGGGGAUUUGGAGCAGGGAUGGGGGGAAUAUUCGUCAGAUAUUUAAAACAGAGCCGAGAGAACAAAGCAGGCCUUUGUGCAGCAGGGCGGCCCGGGAGCUGGGAGCCGCCGGCCCCCAAGCACUGUGCUGGGCCAGGAGAGUGCGCAUGCGCGCGGCGACCUGUGCGCUCGGGUUCUGUGCCGGCUUUUACCCCAGCUGAAUAACCUGGUGGUCACAAGAAAGCAAAGGGAUUUUUAUGUGACAUCAUCUUGGCAAGAAGCUCCCUUACCAACCUUGACCUCCAGGUCUCCAUGGCAACUGCUGCUGGGACAUCAUUGGCACCAGAUUGUGUCCCUUAAAGGCCACACUGCAGCAAGGGCAGAUAAACAAUUUCAUGGCAACAGUCACGUAGCAAUCUCAUUCUUAAAUGUGGGCUGGUUAGUUAGGAUGAUGUAAGUGGUUUUUUCCACUCUCUUCCGCAUUCUGACUCCAGAAUUCUGGGCCUAGGACAUAGUCAAAGAAUGUACCUUGGGGUAUGAGGUAAGAAAACAGGCUGGGGUGGGACUUGAAGAAGUACCUUCUUCUAGACACAGGGACAGAUUCUUUUUCCUUUCCCAGUUGAGAGUUCAUUUUCUGUCUCGGUUCAACAAAGGCAUGUUAUCUUUAUAUAAAGGAAGCUGUAAUAGACAGUCUCCAAGAUGGCAGCCUUUAGUUCUUUCCCUCCUCAGAUUCAUGAGCUGCUUCUCACCUCUUAAAUCUGGUCUACCUAUAGUGACUUGCUUGACCAACAGAAUAUGCUAGGAGCAACAUUCUGGAACUUCCAAGGCUUGGUUGUAAGAAGCUUUGCAAUAUCUGCCUGGAUCUCUUAGAACCUUCAAUAUGGGACACUUGCUCUAGAAAUCAGCCACCAUCCUGUGAGAAGUCCAAGCCACAGAGUGAGGCCAGAAAUAGUUGCUGCAGUCAAGAGCCCCAGCUGAGCUCUCAGCCAACAUUCAGCAUCACUGCCAGCCAUGUGAGUGAGUGAUGGUGACCUUGGAUGUCCAGCUCAGUAGAACCUUCAGAUGAUUUCAGCCCUAGCCGUUCCAACUGCAAGACAUCCUGAGUGAGCUGAGCCCAGUCAACAGAGAUGUGAGAGAUAAAAAUGCAUUGUUUUGAGACACUAAGUUUUAGAGUGUCUGUUGUGUAGCAGUAGGUAGUUCAAGAGGAAUGAAAUGCUAGAUGGGGUAUGGAAGAUAGGAGAGGACCUCCUGAUAGCUCAGCUACUUUGAAAGGCUUUAUUUAUCAGGAUUUUUUGCCCCUGCAUCCCACCAACACCAUCCCUGCUUUCUGAGCUGUGCCUGGCACACUGCACCACACAAACCUUGCACUGCUCACUAACUGUGCCAUGUAUAUAAGCCUCCUCAGCCCGAUGGUGGACACCUUGAAGAUAGGGACCUAUAUGAUUUGAUUCCUACCCUCCUUAGCACUGACAGAUUUGUCAAGCUGUUCCAGUGGAUAAAUACGGGGGAUAACUGCUGGAACAGCAUCUUGAGGUGUUUAUAUGGCUUGGCUUCUGAUCUUUGACAUUUGAUAACUGAUGAACAUGCUAUUUGGGCCCACCCAGGAGCCAGCCACACCAUGGGGGAGUCUGAACCUCACCCACACUGUGGCCACUCAGGGGAAGGAGACCAGGGCCAAGAACGCAGUUGCUAACCUCCUGCUUAGAUUUGCUUCUUGCGGGGCAGCCCUGGAAACCCAAAGAAGAGCUAAAACUGUGUGGAUGAGAGAAAACCUUCAGAACCCAUUCAUAGAGAUACCAGGAGCAGCUGAGAACCCAUUGUAGGAAGGACACAUGUUCAAGACCUCCCCCAUCUGCCCAUCUAGGGACAUGGAUGUUUAACAUGCUAGGGUCAGAAGUGGGAACAUAGGUCAGCUUGAGUAGAACCUGGUGCCUGUGCAGGAACCCUGCCUUCUGUGGGCCCAGCUACUCGGGAGGCCAAAGAGGGAGGAUGGCUUGGGUCUGGGAGGUCGAGGCUGCAGUGAGCUAUGUUUGCACCACUGCACUACAGCCUGGGCAACAGAGUGAGACCCUGUUUCAUAAAAAAUAAAUAAAAAUAGAAAGCCUGGCGAGCCCAGUGUCUACUCAGAGCUUAGGAGAGAGGGAGGAGAAAAGCAGGAUGAGGGCAGCUUGGGAGGCGGUCCUUCAUUCUGCCAAUAAACAUUAUUUUGUGAAUCAGGCCUGGCUUGAGGCACAGCGUAUGCAGAAAAGUUCAAGGGAGACAGAGUCCCUGCUCUCAGGUAAAAUGCCUGGAGGAGUUGUAGCUCCGAUACACAUCUCACGACAUGGGCAGAGCUUGGCUGACCAUGGGUGUAGGGGAGCUAUGGCCUUCCCUCCUCAUUAUAUCCCAGUCUUCCAACUUUGUGAAAGACCUGGAAUUCCCAUGCUAUAAGGUGGUAUGAGUGUGGGCACUAGGGCUGGGACUAGUCCAGGUCCCAGCUCCACCACUUAUUGGCUGUGUGACCUCGUGCAAGCUACUUAAACUCUCUGAACCUUUAGCAUCUUAUCAGUAAAAAUAAGAACAGUAACAGUUCUUCAUCUCAGGGUUGUCUGAGGAUUUCAUAAGAUCCUCCUGGCAAAGUGACCCCUUAGCUCCAUGUGUGGCACCUGCAGGCGCUUCGGAACCACCGGCUCCUAUCCUAUGUACUCCCACGAGGCAUGGGAGGGCUCUGGAUAUGAAAUUAUCUGCAAGGUCCAAGUAACUUUUGCUUAGAAAAAACAAAAGGGAUGAUGAGGGAAGAAGUCUCACUUAGGAACGAAAUUGCCUGGGGCCCUGUUUCCUGAGAGGAUCGCGCAGGAGUCAUAUGACAUUGGUCUGACUUUCCUGAACUGCCCACGCAUGCGCUGAGUUUCAACAGCACCGAGAACCUAGGCUUCUCUUCCUGAAACUUAGGAGAAGCUUGGGCUUCCCUCUGGCCAGUCCAGAGGUGGUUCCCAGGUAAUUGCCUGGUCCAAGAGCCACAGAGGAUUUGGAAUUAUGAGGGUAGGGAACUGCGGUUAGGGGGAUCCCAGAGUCUCAGGAAGCAUUUCAGUUCCAUCCCUUGACCCCACUUCAUGCUCUGGCAUAUCGAGGGCCCGGAAGUGCUAGGAGAGCUGUGAUUGGCAGGCCUCACUCCCUGCCCACCUUCCCUCUUAGCUUCCCCAGAACCAUAGCCCCCUUUAGACUGGGCAUAUGGGCAGAUAACAAAGGAUAUCAUGCUGGGGACGUAUUUCUGAGAGGGGGUGACUGCCCUUGCCCCUAAGUAUGAGUUGCCUUUUCCAAAUAUCCCCACAAUGUAAAGUGAUCGGCAAAGGGGACCACAGCCCUUGGUUCUACACCCAUCAAACAUGUGCUGAAAUCAGAUUCUUUUCUAAGCAACACAUCCAUAUUAUGCCACCAUUCAGACGAAACCAAGAGCUAAUCAUCCUGAGUAUGAGAUGUGUUCUCUGGUGAGAUGCCUGGACCUCCACAGGGGAGGUUGUUCUCUUGAGAAAAUGCCGACUUCCCCUCGUCUUUCAGAGGCCCCCUUCCUGACCAAAAGGCUCAAGGUAAGCAAAGCUAGAGCCCAGUGUUUGGGCUACAUUCCAGACUCCUGGUGUUUCCAACCCAGAGGGGUUAUACUCACUGCAAAUCUUUACUCUCCCUAAAAGCAGUUUAACAGAAAGAAGACAUUUGAUCUUUCCCUAGUACAUCUCAGUAGUUUGAUUUUCACUGUCAUGUGAAUUCAAGACAUAGAAAAAUAAAACACAAAGCCUUACCGGCCCUACUGGUUUAUCCAUCAUAUUCUAUUACCUUCUAAGAAGUCUGCCUUAUUAGCAUAUCUGAUCACUUGAGGAACACCUGGCUAGAAUGUUUAGGUGGUAGCAAGGGAAUGAUUGGCUUAUUUUCCUCCCCAGAUGUCACUCUUUGGGCUCUCCACCCAGGGUCACUACUAGCCCAUAUGGCACCUAUGUACAAGUUAGAAAAGGCACCCCUUCCUCUUUGUGGAUACAGCCAUGCCAGGGCACAGCUUGGCAGGAUGAGUGCAGGCUGAAUUUCAGCCCCCAUCUGCCUUCUAUGCAUGUUGGCCUUUUGCAGUGAACAGCCUGUGAAACUAUAUGUGGUGGCCUUGCCUAUACUCAAUGUCACUAGCUCUCAUUUCUCUUCUUGGAAAGGUGCGUGUUGGAGAGGGAAGGGAAAGAAGAUGCUUGUUGCUGUUCAUUACGGACAGGUUCCCCAAGAGUGACACCGUACUGUGGACUCAGCUUCAGGAGGAGAGAGACCAUGCCUGCAGGAAUCAAAAUGAAUCAGCACCAAUCCUGACCCAAGAUGAUAUGGGUUGACUGAAUCAGUUGUUCCUCAUCAAGUAUACUGGAAGUCAGAAUGGCUCCUCCUCCAUGAUGCCCCUGUACUUAGAGCAUCUGGCGUCUGUGAAGGGUCUAAUCCCAAGUGAGGAUUCUGCUCCUGAGACAGCCAGGACCAGACGAUUGCCAAGGUCCCUCCAGCCUAAAGGCAGUGACUCUAGAACAGAUGGGGCUGGAUGGUAACAGGGUAACUGGAGCUCAGGAAUGGAGGCCAGGUUAGAGGCAUGCUUGCCCAGUCAUUCCAGGUGCCCAGGUUCCAGGCUUAUCCCUCUUUAGGAGAGAAGUAAAGACAUGAAGAGGAACCCUCUGUGGGCCUGUGCUGACCCAUCUGCCACCCCCAACCAGAGGCAUGAGUGACAUGGGAAAGGGGAGUGGCGUUGGGGCUGCUUGGCCUGCCUCCUGCACCCCAAAGCUCUGGGUUCAAUUACACUCAUUGUCACUGUGCACAGAACCCACGUCACCACUGAGGAGAUCAGCUGGGCCCUGGCUGCUGACAGCUUGUUUUAUUCUUGCUAAGCCACUACAUCUUGGCUUUGUUGUUAUGUUUCCAAUAGCAACAGGAGAAAAGACAACUUUUUCUGCUUUGGGAGCUUAUUUUUUUCUCCCGUAGGAGAAAGCUCCAGCCUGAAGACUUGAUGUCCUUGGGGCCCCAAUGUGGCCUUAGCCCAGACCCUGGGGGCCAGUAAGGAGAAGUCCAGCUUAGCUCUGCCCCAGGGAAACAGCGGGUAGCUGAAGUCAUGGAGGAUCCAGGAGCCAGGAGCUAUCAACUCUUCUGGAAUUGGGCUCAGCUGCCCUUUUUAGUUUUGAAUGGCUACAAAAUAUCCACAGUGGCUUGGGUAGGCCUAAAGCAUAGACAGUGGAGAAAGGAAAAGGAGAGAAAAAAGGAACUUAAGAGUAGAGGAGAAAGGAGUGGGAGAGAAUGGCAAGAGAAGAAAGGUGGCUGUGGAGAAGUGCAGUGACACCAUCAGCACCCUUGGGCAUCACUUGGCAUUUGAAGCCAAAGAGGAUGACCCCACAGGCCUGGAUGAAAAAUAUAGAGGUUCUCUCUGGCAAGGGGCUUUUGCUUUCCAUUGAGAAGGAGCUGCCAUCAUGAAUGGAUGGAUGGAUGCAUGGACAGGUGGGUGGAUGGAUGAAUGAAACAAUAAGCGUGGUAUUCCCAGGAUUGAAUGAAUGAUAAAGGAAGGAAAAAUAAGUGAGAAGUGAGAGAAUCCAAUGAGGGGUUAAGCCAUCUUAGGCAGGGAUUGCCAAGGAGUGGUUUGGGAGGGCCUUGCCCCGUCCCCUCCAGUCUCCAUUGGCUUCCCCUAAAGUCUUUCUAAGUAAAUAAACAUGCAAUCUAAGUGGAAAAAUAGAGUGUUUACUAUACAAAACAGCCUGAUGAAAACCCCCUGGCUCCUGUAUCAGCCAAUAUUCCAUCCAUAGGUUCUCCUUUACAGAAACUCCCGAGCUGCCACUCAUCAACUACAAGGCAUUGUGUCUGCUUUUUCCAAAUCCCAUCCCAGACCAAUUGUAUUCAGGCUGUGGACAGACAGGUGAGGACCUGAAACAUGAUUAAAGGAUAUAGGGAAAAUAAACUUUAGAUUCACUUGAGAAUAGGAAGAGUUAAAGGGCCUUAAGCCUUUCAGUCACUCCUACUUAGGGAUUUGGGGUAUUAAUUAACAAUAGCAAAUCAUUGGGUAGAUUGUCUCUGCUCUCCCUUCAGUAAAAAAUGUCAGGUAUAGGCAUUUCUUCCUAUGCCCAGUAGGAAUAGUUCACUGGGGCCAGGAUCAAGGGUUAGGGGUCAAAGGACUAUACUCUCUAAGCCUUGAACCAAUAAUGUGAGCAGCUAGUGCAGAAGUGAGCAAGGCUCUUCUUUCAUGGAAGGUUCUUAUCAGAAACCAGAGCUGUCUGGAGGGACACAGUGAGUCAGAUUACAACAGCUACCCAUGGUGGGGACAGGUCAGAAGGGGUCACGCAGAGGCUGUAGGGAAGGUUGCUAUUCUUAGGCCCCUACUAUCUCAGGCGUCUGCUGACUCACUUGGG